rnacentral:rRNA from 1 species
CAGCCGCCGCGGUAAUACAGAGGGUGCAAGCGUUAAUCGGAAUUACUGGGCGUAAAGGGCGCGUAGGUGGUUGUGUAAGUGAGAUGUGAAAUCCCCGGGCUCAACCUGGGAACUGCGUCUUAUACUGCAUAGCUUGAGUACAAUAGAGGGUAGUGGAAUUUCCGGUGUAGCGGUGAAAUGCGUAGAUAUCGGAAGGAACACCAGUGGCGAAGGCGGCUACCUGGAUUGAUACUGACACUGAGGCGCGAGAGCGUGGGGAGCAAACAGGAUUAGAUACCCCGGUAGUCCCUGUCUCUUAUAC